rnacentral:rRNA from 1 species
AAGCCGGAGGAAGGUGGGGAUGACGUCAAGUCCUCAUGGCCCUUAUAGGUGGGGCUACACACGUCAUACAAUGGCUGGUACAAAGGGUUGCCAACCCGCGAGGGGGAAGCCAAUACCCAUAAAGCCAGUCGUAGUCCGGAUCGUAGUCUGCAACUCGACUACGUGAAGUCGGAAUCGCUAGUAAUCGUGGAUCAGAAUGUCACGGUGAAUACGUUCCCGGGUCUU